rnacentral:rRNA from 1 species
GACGAACGCUGGCGGCGUGCUUAACACAUGCAAGUCGAACGGAAAGGCCCUGCCUUUGUGGGGUGCUUGAGUGGCGAACGGGUGAGACACAAGUGAGUAACCUGCCCUUGACUUUGGGAUAACUUCAGGAAACUGGGGCUAUUACCGGAUAGGAGUUCCUCAUGCUUGGUGGGGGUUGGAACGUUGCGGCGGUUGGGGAUGGACUGGCGGCUUAUCUGCUUGUGGGGGGGGUAGUGGCUUACCAGGGCUCUGAGGGGUAGCCGGCCUGGGGGGGGGACCGGCCACAUUGGGACUGGAAUACGGCCCGGACUCCUCCGGGGGGCAGCGGGGGGGAAAAUUGCACAAGGGGCGGAAGCCGAAUGCAGCAACGCCGCGGGCGGGAGAACGGCCUUCGGGUGGAAAACCGCUUUCGCCGGGAACGAGGCGUGAGUGACGGUAAUGGGUAAAGAAGCACCGGCUAACUACGUG